CCUGCAUGUUGCAAGGCUCAACUGGAGUAAAUUUCUUCCAUUGCCAGCAACCCCAACCCCGCACGUUUCCCUUCCUUUUUCUCUUUCUCCAUAUAUCUACUACGUGUAAUGCUUGUGUCUCCUAAGCACCUACAGUAUUGGCUUCCAACUGAGUUUUUCUUUUACAGAGUAAAAAGAGCUACCAUGGACAAACAGAACGCCUGCAACACUGAUUUCAAAUCCAAUUUCUGCUUCCCC
rnacentral:misc_RNA from 1 species